rnacentral:rRNA from 1 species
AUUGAACGCUGGCGGCAGGCCUAACACAUGCAAGUCGAGCGGAUGAAGGGAGCUUGCUCCUGGAUUCAGCGGCGGACGGGUGAGUAAUGCCUAGGAAUCUGCCUGGUAGUGGGGGAUAACGUCCGGAAACGGGCGCUAAUACCGCAUACGUCCUGAGGGAGAAAGUGGGGGAUCUUCGGACCUCACGCUAUCAGAUGAGCCUAGGUCGGAUUAGCUAGUUGGUGGGGUAAAGGCCUACCAAGGCGACGAUCCGUAACUGGUCUGAGAGGAUGAUCAGUCACACUGGAACUGAGAAAGGGUCCAGACUCCUACGGGAGGCAGCAGUGGGGAAUAUUGGACGAUGGGCGAAAGCCUGAUCCAGCCAUGCCGCGUGUGUGAAGAAGGUCUUCGGAUGGUAAAGCACUUUAAGUUGGGAGGAAGGGCAGUAAGUCAAUACCUUGCUGUAUUGACGUUACCAACAGAAUAAGCACCGGCUAACUUCGUG